rnacentral:rRNA from 1 species
GGCAGUGGCGGUCGUCUAUAAUGCAGUCGAGCGCAUCUUCGGAUGAGCGGCGGACGGCUGAGUAACACGUUGGUAACUGCCCCAAACUCAGGGAUAACCAUGAGAAAUCAUGGCUAAUACCGGAUGGUCCCGAAAGGGUAAAGAUUUAUCGGUUUGGGAGGUGCCUGCGGCCUAUCAGCUAGUUGGUGAGGUAAAAGCUCACCAAGGCUAUGACGGGUAACUGGUCUGAGAGGAUGACCAGUCAGAGGGAAACUGAGACACGGUUCCCACUCCUACGGGAGGCAGCAGUAAAGAAUCUUCCGCAAUGGGCGAAAGCCUGACGGAGCGACACCGCGUGCAGGAUGACGGCCUUCGGGUUGUAAACUGCUUUUCUGGGGGAAUAAUUCUGAAGGUACCCUAGGAAUAAGCACCGACUAAUCCCGUGCCAGCAGUCGCGGUAAUACGUGAGGUGCAAACGUUACCCGGAAUUAUUGGGCGUAAAGAGUCCGUAGGUGGUGAAUUAAGUCAGAUGUUAAAUCUUGGAGCUCAACUUCAAGCCUGCGUCUGAAACUGGUUCGCUUGAGUCUUGGAGAGGUGAGUGGAAUUCUGUAUGUAGGGGUAAAAUCCGUAGAUAUACAGAGGAACACCAAAAGCGAAGGCAGCUCACUGGCCAAGUACUGACACUAAAGGACGAAAGCGUAGGUAGCAAACGGGAUUAGAUACCCCGGUAGUCUACGCCGUAAACGAUGAUCACUCGGUGUUGGGAGUUCGACCCUCUCAGUGCCUAAGUUAACACGAUAAGUGAUCCGCCUGGGGAGUACGGUCGCAAGAUUAAAACUCAAAGGAAUAGACGGGGACCCACACAAGCGGUGGAGCGUGUGGUUUAAUUCGACAAUAAGCGAGGAACCUUACCAGGGUUUGACAUCCUCCGAAUUUUUCCGAAAGGAAGAAGUGCCGUAAGGGAACGGAGUGACAGGUGAUGCACGGUUGUCGUCAGCUCGUGCCUUGAGUGUUCGGUUAGUCCGUA